rnacentral:rRNA from 1 species
AUACGGAGGGAGCAAGCGUUAUUCGGAAUCACUGGGCGUAAAGGACGCGUAGGCGGGUUUGUAAGUCAGGUGUGAAAUCCUACGGCUCAACUGUAGAACUGCACUUGAAACUACAGACCUAGAGUAUGGAAGGGGCAGAUGGAAUUAGUGGUGUAGGGGUAAAAUCCGUAGAUAUCACUAGGAAUACCGAAAGCGAAGGCGAUCUGCUGGGACAUUACUGACGCUGAGGCGUGAAAGCGUGGGGAGCAAACGGGAUUAGAAACCCCAGUAGUCC